UACGUAGGGUGCGAGCGUUUGUCCGGAAUUACUGGGCGUAAAGAGCUUGUAGGUGGUUUGUCGCGUUGUUCGUGAAAUCUCACGGCUCAACUGUGAGCAUGCGGGCGAUACGGGCAGACUAGAGUACUGCAGGGGGAGACUGGAAUUCCUGGUGUAGCGGUGGAAUGCGCAGAUAUCAGGAGGAACACCGGUGGCGAAGGCGGGUCUCUGGGCAGUAACUGACGCUGGAGAAGC
rnacentral:rRNA from 1 species